UCCGCGAUAGCUCAAUGGUGGAGCAUUCGGCUGUUAACCGAAGGGAUGCAAGUUCGAGUCUUGCUCGCGGAG
rnacentral:tRNA from 1 species